GCGGUGAGGAGCAAGACCCCACUGACAUUUGAGGACUCCCAACUGUUUUUUUAUCAGGACUUAUCAAAGGCAACGCUGCAAUGGCGGAAAUCCCUGAACUCACCACCUGACUACGCACCGCAGGAGUGACCUACAGGUGGGGAACACCGAGAUCCCUUCACGUCUUUCACAAUGGCACCAUGCACAAACUCACUACAGGGACUGCCAUACAUACGUUCCUCUCUGCACUGGGCAUAGGGGAUGUGACGACUGCCCAGGCGGACCCAAGCCACACACAAGAGUGGGACCCGGCUAACAUAAUCCCAUUUGUGCCAAGACCUGAAGCCAGCAGCCUGCUUGCCACCUAACUGUCAUGGAUGACACUAAUCCAAAUGAGGGACUUCCAGAACUCACGGCUCUGUGCUGCAUCAGGUGGUUACCAUAUUUUUGGGAACACCAGGGAAUUG